AUACUUACCUGGCAGGGGAGAUACCAUGAUCACGAAGGUGGUUUUCCCAGGGCGAGGCUUACCCAUUGCACUCCGGGUGUGCUGACCCCUGUGAUUUCCCCAAAUGUGGGAAAAUUGACUGCAUAAUUUGUGGUAGUGGGGGACUGCGUUCACACUCUCCCCUG
rnacentral:snRNA from 1 species